rnacentral:rRNA from 1 species
AGAGGGUGCGAGCGUUAAUCGGAAUUACUGGGCGUAAAGGGCGUGUAGGUGGUUGAAUAAGUUAGAUGUGAAAACCCUAGGCUUAGCCUGGGAAGUGCAUUUAAUACUGUUUAACUAGAGUAUAGGAGAGGAAAGCGGAAUUUCCGGAGUAGCGGUGAAAUGCAUAGAUACCGGAAAGAACACCAGAGGCGAAGGCGGCUUUCUGGCCUAAUACUGACACUGAGGCGCGAAAGCGUGGGGAGCAAACAGGAUUAGAGACCCUGGUAGUCCACGCUGUAAACGAUGAAUACUAGCUGUUGGGAUGGUAAGACAUCCAAGUGGCGUAGCUAACGCACUAAGUAUUCCGCCUGGGGAGUACGGCCGCAAGGUUA